CCGGCCGCCCACGGAGCUCGCAAAGUUCGGAUCCGCAAGGACCGGGCCAGCGGGACGUCCGCGUGGCAGGGUGCACUUUCUCCGCGGUCGAGUGCUACGACCGGUUUCGCGGCGGUCAGAAGCCCGGCGGAAAGGUAGCGCCGCCCCUCGGGGUGUCGUGUUAUAGGCCGCCGCGGUGGACUCGCCGCGAGACCGAGGACGCUUGCCGCGCCGAGCGGUCCCGGGCCGUCUGGGGAGGUUCGACCUCGGCUGCACUGCUCCGCAGAGCACCGUAACCGCCGCCCUAGCACGGGUCCGGAGACUGCCGGCGCCUCGGGUCAGUAGCG
rnacentral:rRNA from 2 species